GGCUGUGCCUUCACUGUACCUCGCAAGAGUUACACGCACGAGAUUGUUACUCUGGUACAGAGCACUGGAAGUUCUGCUCGGUUCAACUCAUUACUCUACCGACGUCGAUAUGUGGUCCGUCGGAUGUCUUUUCGGGAAAGAAUAGAAAACGAGCCAUAAUGGCCAAGAUAGCUGCUCUUGCAAAAAAAAGGCCAGAAAAGGAUGUCAAAGUUUCCACUGUGAUGGAUACUAAGAAUAGGCUGAGUUCAAAAAACAAAAAUCAAGUAUGAUGC